AUUUCUCUCUCCCUCCCCUCUCCUCAUAUUUGCAUUAGAUCCCCAGGUCAAUAAGUUCAGCAUUCGCGGAGCAUUUUUCUCCACAGUCAUCAGCGCAUUCUCGACACAGGAGAAUCUCUAGGGCUGAAUAGCAGUGAUGCUGCAGGUUGUCGAUAAGGGGAUGUUGGCAUAAGUUUCCCAGCAUUUGCAUAUGCCCUACGGUAUACAAUUUUUUUGUUUUUGCCUGGAAUUUGCUACUCUUCCCUACUCCCCGUUUGCUCUGAUGUGCAGUGAAUUAACCUAAAUGUAGACAAUGAGUUUUGCGAUCUCAGCCUGCAAAACAGGCGUUUGUUACGGAGACAUGGUGAAGAAGGAAGAAUACUGUUGAUUUUAGAUUGAAAUGGCUUGCUGAAACCAGUUACGGAAGAGAAAGAAAGGCCAUGCUGCCUCCAACCAAACACCCCCGGCAACCCUGACCCUCCCUGGAACCCUCUGAAGGAAUCGCUGACAGCUCCUUCGGGUGACCCAGAUGGUGCACGACGGGGGUAAGAACCGACUAAGGGGGACCGGGCUGGACAGCGUGGAUGGCUCGGCUCAAGCAUCGCCACUACUUCGAAAGACUCAAGUACACGUCCUCCAGACGGUGGGACGACCCACAGAGGACCGUGAACCCCACGAGAGACAGGGACCAGGUCUAAUUCCCUCCCACGUAUUCUUUUUCGGUGCUUAGUACAGUGUUUUACCCACAGUAAGCACUUAGUAAAUGCUAUUACUACUACGAUAGUGAAGCCGUGGAACCAAGGCAGUACCCGAGCACUGAAGCUUCCCUCAAGCUUAAACUCAGCUAUUCUGAGUUGGGCAUGCGAGGAGAACGAACAAGAGCAGGGCACCCAAACAACUGCCAAGAAACAGAAAGGAGGACAGAGGAAACGUUCUAAGGAUACGGCAGAACGAAGCCGCAGUCAUGGCUGUACCCUAGCUGAAAUUCGGAAGUCGGUUGCUGAAGUGUGCCAAAAUCAGAAAAAAAUUUGAGCGGAAACUUCGACAAUGAGGCAAAACCGAGAACAGCACCAAACAUGAUUAUACAACUCGGGAGUUUUUUGGGCACACAAUUUGACCGGGACUGUGGGUAACAUAUUAGCCUUUUCAGUUAGUCUGUCUCUGUCCCUCUCUCAUGCACAUGAAUUUCACUGUAGGUGGCAUCUCCAAGUAUGAAGGACAAGUAUUAUAAAAAUGGCAUAGUUAUUAUGUUGGUUGAGAUAUGUGGGAAUAGUUGUUUUGUGUUAUAUACUAUUUCUAUGAACUAGGGUCCAGUUUCGAACAAAUGACUAUCAAAAAUUCUGGCCACUAACAGUAGCAACUGCUCUUUUACUGAAACAACAUUCUGGGUUAGUCAUUAUUAUCUCUACCAAAAAGCCCCAACUAAAGUAAACCCAUUGUCAUUCUUAGCAGGUGCACGGGUGAAAUCUAAAGAUCUCUUCAUUCCAUGGCUUAACGGCAAAAAUUUAAUCAGGAGUGGGUAAUAUGAAUAUAUGUAACAUAAUGAAUUUCAAGUAUUUUUACCCGCAGACAUUGUCAGGAAUUGAAUUCUCGGUGUAUGCCAUUUGUAAUUGAAAAUCUUUACAUUUUAGUUCCACCUGUCAUUUUUCUAAUUCCAUUCAAAGAAUAUCUAUUAAAAUAAUACCUCUCCUACAU